rnacentral:rRNA from 1 species
GCGUGAGUGUUAGGUUAAGUCCUGCAACGAGCGCAACCCUCGUCGCUAGUUACUUUCUCUAGCGAUACUGCCCGUAUAACGUGGAGGAAGGUGGGGAUGACGUCAAGUCAGCACGGCCCUUACAUCCUGGGCUGCACACACGCUACAAUGGGUGAUACAACAGGUUGCAAUAGAGCGAUCUGGAGCCAAUCCCUAAAAUCAUCCUCAGUACGGAUUGCAGGCUGCAACUGCCUGCAUGAAGUUGGAGUUGCUAGUAAACGCAGGUCAGCACACUGCGUUGAAUACGUUCUCGGGCCUU